ACGAAAUAGAGGAGAGCUCUUCAUGGCAGGCAAGGGAUUUUGAAUUCUGUUCUCCAUGGUAGUGGGCCUUUAUAACAAAGCCAUGAGCAAACUGCAGGAUGUCCUACCUGUUUGGUGAAUGGUUAAACAAAUUGUGGUACAUUCCUACAAUGAAAUACUACUCAGCAAUAAGAAGGAAUAGACUGUUGAUACGUUCAACAAGUUGGGUGAAUCUCAAAGACACUAUGCUGAGUAAAAGAAGCCAUCUCAAAAGGGCUGCAUACCAAAAGGAACAAAAGCACAAAACAAACAAACAAACAAACAAACAAGCAAAUGAUGGUGGAAACUAUUUUCAAAACUUCCCUGUUCUGGUAAAGACGUUUUCAGAGCUCAAACUAGUCCUGCUGAAAAUAUUUUUUAAAAUAUGAAAGCAUAGCGGAAAAUUUGUAUGAAAAAGAAAAAAGAAAAAGAAGGAGGAGGAAGAAGAAGAAGAAAGAAGAAAAAGGAGAGGAAGAAGAAGAAGGAGGAGGAGGAGAAGAAGAGGAGGAGGAGGAGGAGGAAAUGGCAGAGACAAUGUAUGUCCCAGAAAGCCUAAAAUGUGUACUGUUUGUCCGUUUAUAGAAAAAGUGUGCCAGUCCCUACUCUGUUCCCAAUUUUAAAAACAAAUAAAUAAAAAGAAAAACAAGCAAGUCUCUCAGCCAAGAAAGAAUCGAUGGGAACUUUUUCAACUUUAUAAAGUGGAUCUACAAAAAACUACAACUAACACUAACGUCACACCUAAUGGUGAAAGUCUGAAUGUUUUCCCUCUAAGACUAGGAAAAGGUGGCAUGGAUGUCCACUCUCCCUACUCUAUUCAGCAUUGUAUCAAAAGUUCUUAUCAGUGAAAUAAGACAAGAAAACAAUAAAUGGC
rnacentral:lncRNA from 1 species